rnacentral:rRNA from 1 species
AACGAACGCUGGCGGCAGGCUUAACACAUGCAAGUCGAACGCUGUAGCAAUACAGAGUGGCAGACGGGUGAGUAACGCGUGGGAACGUGCCCUUCGGUUCGGAAUAACUCAGGGAAACUUGAGCUAAUACCGGAUACGCCCUUCGGGGGAAAGAUUUAUUGCCGAAAGAUCGGCCCGCGUCCGAUUAGCUAGUUGGUGAGGUAACGGCUCACCAAGGCGACGAUCGGUAGCUGGUCUGAGAGGAUGAUCAGCCACACUGGGACUGAGACACGGCCCAGACUCCUACGGGAGGCAGCAGUGGGGAAUAUUGGACAAUGGGCGCAAGCCUGAUCCAGCCAUGCCGCGUGAGUGAUGAAGGCCCUAGGGUUGUAAAGCUCUUUCGCCAGGGACGAUAAUGACGGUACCUGGAUAAGAAGCCCCGGCUAACUUCGUGCCAGCCGCCGCGGUAA